rnacentral:rRNA from 1 species
AGAGUUUGAUCCUGGCUCAGAUUGAACGCUGGCGGCAGGCCUAACACAUGCAAGUCGAACGGUAACAGGAAGAAGCUUGCUUCUUUGCUGACGAGUGGCGGACGGGUGAGUAAUGUCUGGGAAACUGCCUGAUGGAGGGGGAUAACUACUGGAAACGGUAGCUAAUACCGCAUAACGUCGCAAGACCAAAGAGGGGGACCCUCGGGCCUCUUGCCAUCGGAUGUGCCCAGAUGGGAUUAGCUUGUUGGUGGGGUAACGGCUCACCAAGGCGACGAUCCCUAGCUGGUCUGAGAGGAUGACCAGCCACACUGGAACUGAGACACGGUCCAGACUCCUACGGGAGGCAGCAGUGGGGAAUAUUGCACAAUGGGCGCAAGCCUGAUGCAGCCAUGCCGCGUGUAUGAAGAAGGCUUCGGGUUGUAAAGUACUUUCAGCGGGGAGGAAGGGAGUAAAAGGUUAAAUACAUUUGCUUCAUGGAACGGUAACCGCAGAAUGAAAGCACCGGCUAACUACGUGACCAGCAGCGCGCGGUAAUACGGGAGGGGUGCAAGCGUUAAUUCGGAAAUUUACUGGGGCGUAAAGCGCACGCAGGGCGGUUUGUUAAAGUCAGAUGGGAAAUCCCCCGCGGCUCAAACCUGGGAACUGCAUUCUGAUACUGGCAAGCUUGAGUCUCGUAGAGGGGGGGGAGAAUUUCCAGGUGUAGCGGGGAAAUGCGUAGAGAUCUGGAGAAAUACCGGUGGCGAAGGCGGCCCCCCUGGACAAAGACUGACGCUCAGGUGCGAAAGCGUGGGCAGCAAACAGGAUUAGAUACCCUGGUAGUCCACGCCGGAAACGAUGUCGACUUGGAGGUUGUGCCCUUGAGGCGUGGCUUCCGAAGCUAACGCGUUAAGUCGACAGCCUGGGGAGUACGGCCGCAAGGUUAAAACUCAAAUGAAUUGACGGGGGCCCGCACAAGCGGUGGAGCAUGUGGUUUAAUGCGAUGCAAUCUGUUUCACAAGAACCUUAAAGAGGUCUCGGACAUCAAAUCGCGAAGCUUCAUCAGAGAUGAGAAUGGUCCCCUCGGGAACCGUGAGACAGGUGCUGCAUGGCUGUCGUCAGCUCGUGUUGUGAAAUGUUGGGUUAAGUCCCGCAACGAGCGCAACCCUUAUCCUUUGUUGCCAGCGGUCCGGCCGGGAACUCAAAGGAGACUGCCAGUGAUAAACUGGAGGAAGGUGGGGAUGACGUCAAGUCAUCAUGGCCCUUACGACCAGGGCUACACACGUGCUACAAUGGCGCAUACAAAGAGAAGCGACCUCGCGAGAGCAAGCGGACCUCAUAAAGUGCGUCGUAGUCCGGAUUGGAGUCUGCAACUCGACUCCAUGAAGUCGGAAUCGCUAGUAAUCGUGGAUCAGAAUGCCACGGUGAAUACGUUCCCGGGCCUUGUACACACCGCCCGUCACACCAUGGGAGUGGGUUGCAAAAGAAGUAGGUAGCUUAACCUUCGGGAGGGCGCUUACCACUUUGUGAUUCAUGACUGGGGUGAAGUCGUAACAAGGUAGCCGU